ensembl:misc_RNA 7SK 7SK RNA
CCCAGCACUUUAGGAGGCAGGAAUAUUUGAAAGGACAACCAUCCCUGAUAGAUGAGGACCCACCUUUGGUCAGGGGUAUUCAAGUAGGUGCACCCCCCAGCUAGAACCUCCAAACAAGCUCUCAAAUAUUGUCUGCCAUUCGUAGAUGUGGAUGUGCCCUCAGGAAUGCACC